AAAAGCUGGAAGAAAUGAUGAUGCCGAGGAAGGUCAUAGUGUUCCAUGGUUUCAGUGGACUUUGAGAUGCUAAGCCAGGACCUUGACUCCUGAACUUAACUGAUGUGAGAGCUGCAUAGAAUGACUUGUAAUCAUUGUGAUUGAACCUGUUGUUGUAGACUUCCACUCUUUAAGACAGGAACUGGAUCACCUUUCUGCCACUUUAGGGCCUGGAAACUCCCCAGUCUCUGGGAGGACCCAGGACUAAUGUGAUCCAUAAAGCAGUUGUUUACCUGAAGAUAUCCUUUGUCUCAUAGUGAAGUUCUACGGGAGCUGUAUAGAAAAGUCACCAUGUCUAUCCCAACAGCCUUUCUGUCAGAAGUCUUUCUUAUCUCCCAGAUGUAUCUUUCAAUCAAUAAAUCCCUCCUGG
rnacentral:lncRNA from 1 species